rnacentral:rRNA from 1 species
AAUGAACGUUGGCGGCGUGGAUUAGGCAUGCAAGUCGCGCGAGAAAUUUCCUUCGGGAGAUGGACAGCGGCGAAAGGGAGAGGAAUACGUAGAAAUCUGCCCUCGAGCCUGGGAUAGCGGCGGGAAACUGCCGGUAAUACCAGAUAACGUCUUCGGACCAAAGGUGUGAUUCCGCUUGAGGAUGAGUCUACGUCCUAUUAGCUAGUUGGUGGGGUAAUGGCCUACCAAGGCAACGAUGGGUAGCGGGUGUGAGAGCACGAUCCGCCUCACUGGGACUGAGACACUGCCCAGACACCUACGGGUGCUGCAGUCGAGAAUCUUCGGCAAUGGGGGAAACCCUGACCGAGCGACGCCGCGUGCGGGAUGAAGGCCCUCGGGUUGUAAACCGCUGUCGUAAGGGAACAAAUCUAUGAGGGUACUCCCUUGUAGUUGAGUGAUCUUA